GAUGAACGCUGGCGGCGUGCCUAAUACAUGCAAGUCGAGCGAACAGACGAGGAGCUUGCUCCUCUGACGUUAGCGGCGGACGGGUGAGUAACACGUGGAUAACCUACCUAUAAGACUGGGAUAACUUCGGGAAACCGGAGCUACUACCGGAUAAUAUAUUGAACCGCAUGGUUCAAUAGUGAAAGACGGUUUUGCUGUCACUUAUAGAUGGAUCCGCGCCGCAUUAGCUAGUUGGUAAGGUAACGGCUUACCAAGGCAACGAUGCGUAGCCGACCUGAGAGGGUGAUCGGCCACACUGGAACUGAGACACGGUCCAGACUCCUACGGGAGGCAGCAGUAGGGAAUCUUCCGCAAUGGGCGAAAGCUUGACGGAGCAACGCCGCGUGAGUGAUGAAGGUCUUCGGAUCGUAAAACUCUGUUAUUAGGGAAGAACAAAUGUGUAAGUAACUAUGCACGUCUUGACGGUACCUAAUCAGAAAGCCACGGCUAACUACGUG
rnacentral:rRNA from 1 species